rnacentral:lncRNA from 1 species
CAAAAUUAUUGUACUAUUUCACGGUGAUCAGUUUUUAUUGGCGGAGGAAGCCACAGUACCCGGAGAGAUCCACUGACAAGAGAUAAACAGCAUGUAGAUACCGAUGCUCAUGCAGCAAAAAUGCAUUACAACUUAACUACAUACUAUAUAAAAAAAGAAGAUGUGGUAUGAUUGCCAAUGACACAACUAUCCACAAAAGACCAAAAUGACACAGACAUUAACAACUAUAGGUCACCGUACGGCCUUCAGCAAUGAGAAAAGCCCAUACCGCAUAGUCAGCUAUAAAAGGCCCCGAUAAAACAAUGUAAAACAAUUCAAACGAGAAAACUAACAGCCUUAUUUAUGUAAAAAAAAAUGAACGAAAAACAAAUAUGUAACACAUAAACAAACGACAACCACUGAAUUACAGGCUCCUGACUUGGGACAGGCACAUUUGCUAUAUAUUCUUAAAAUAUAUCAGUUGGCUAAUUUAAAAGGUAGUGUUUUGAAGUGUGG